AACACUGUUAACCUGCGGUACCUGCGGAAGGAUCAUUAACGCGUCUCCGACGGCGAGGGCGCGCCCCAGCUCCGGGCCGAAAGGCCGCGCUGCGGGGCGGCCCGAGCCGCUCGACCUUUGCGAACCCGCUGUGCACUUUUGUCGGCAGAGGCCCCCCCGGGGCCCGAGCCGGAAUCACAAACCCACUCGAAUCGAACGCUGAGCGGCCCCCGUGCCGCCUAAACUUUGACAACUUUCAAC
rnacentral:misc_RNA from 1 species